GUUGGAUAACUGAGGUAAUUCUUGAGCUAAUACACGCUAUUUAUACCACAUUAGUGGUGCGUUUAUUUGAUUAAACCAUUUUAACGGUUGACUCAAAAUAUCCUUGCUGAUUUUGUUACUAAAACAUACCGUAUGUGUAUCUGGUUUAUCAACUUUCGAUGGUAGGGUAUUGGCCUACCAUGGUUGUGACGGAUAACGGAGAAUUAGGGUUCGACUCCGGAGAGGGAGCCUGAGAAACGGCUACCACAUCCAAGGAAGGCAGCAGGCGCGAAAAUUACCCAAUUUUAGUUCAAAGAGGUAGUGACGAAAAAUGACAACCAAAUAUUAUUAUUAAUAUUUGGAUUGAAAAUCUUCAAGUUUAAAUAACUUGUUGGUAAAGGAAAGGGCAAGUCUGGUGCCAGCAGCCGCGGUAAUACCAGCUUUCCAAGUGCAUAAAAUGAUUGUUGUGGUUAAAAAGCUCGUAGUUGGAUUAUAAAGAUUGUAUAAUGAGCAUCUUGGAUGUUUUAAUUUCAUUAUCAUCUUAUUAUUUUUAUUAUUUAUCGUUAAAAAUAAAUAAUAAACUGUUACUUUGAAUAAAUCAGAGGGUUUAAACCAGGCAUUUAUAUGCUUGUAUGGUCUAGCAUGGAAUAACACUAUAGAAAAAGUUAGUGUGGUUUCACUAAUCUUUUUCAUGAUUAAUAGGAACAAACGGGGGCAUUCGUAUCGCUACGUUAGAGGUGAAAUUCUUGGACCGUAGCGAGACGUCCUACUGCGAAAGCAUUUGCCAAGAAUGUUUUCAUUAAUCAAGAACGAAAGUUAGAGGUUCGAAGGCGAUCAGAUACCGCCCUAGUUCUAACCGUAAACUAUGCCUACUAGGUGUAUGAAUUAUUAGUUAUAAUAAUUUAUGGACCUUCUCGGAAACGAAAGUCUUUCGGUUCCGGGGGAAGUAUGGUUGCAAAGCUGAAACUUAAAGGAAUUGACGGAAGGGCACCACCAGGAGUGGAGCCUGCGGCUUAAUUUGACUCAACACGGGAAAACUCACCCGGGCCGGACACUAUAAGGAUUGACAGAUUGAUAGCUCUUUCAUGAUUUAGUGGUUGGUGGUGCAUGGCCGUUCUUAGUUCGUGGAUAUGAUUUGUCUGGUUGAUUCCGAUAACGAGCGAGACUUUUAUGUUAUAUUAAAUAAUAUUAUUUUAAAUUUUAUUUAAUAAUAUUUUAUUUUAAUAACAGAUUAAUAGUGUUUAACUAUUUGAGAGAGAGCAAUAACAGGUCUGUGA
rnacentral:rRNA from 1 species